CCUACGGGGGGCAGCAGUGGGGAAUAUUGCACAAUGGGGGGAACCCUGAUGCAGCGACGCCGCGUGGGUGAGGAAGUACUUCGGUAUGUAAAGCCCUAUCAGCAGGGAAGAAAAUGACGGUACCUGACUAAGAAGCCCCGGCUAACUACGUGCCAGCAGCCGCGGUAAUACGUAGGGGGCAAGCGUUAUCCGGAUUUACUGGGUGUAAAGGGAGCGUAGACGGCGUGCCAAGUCUGAUGUGAAAGGCCGGGGCUCAACCCCGGGACUGCAUUGGAAACUGGCAUGCUGGAGUGCCGGAGGGGCAA
rnacentral:rRNA from 1 species